rnacentral:precursor_RNA from 14 species
AAGCAACCCCCAGAAUGAGGAGUAUGGGGGGGUCACUCUAGUCACUGCAGCACUGUGCUGGGAAUGUUGCAGCUGCAAGGGAGUGACUUUGCACGGUCCUCUCUGCCUCAAGGGUCAAUU